CUUUACAAGCAUUAUACACACACUGACAGUUACCUGAAAAAUCUGUCAAACCUAACUUAUUAAAUUUGUUUUUUCAUGAAAUAGUGCAGCGGUACAUUAAGAGCACUGGCUAACUAGAAGCGAGUUUUUGGAAGGUUCUAUUCUGGACAGAGGUAUAUGGUGAAUUGAAUGUAACACGAGCUUGAAUUAUAUGUAAAUAACACAAUGUUGGAAGUGGACAAAAUUUUGGAAAAAUGCGGCAAUUUCAAUCGGCAGCAGCUAAUCAUGCUGCUGUUCUCUGAUCAGUUUACUAUCGGCCAUGCAUAACAUAUCCUACUCGCUUAUUAAUACUGUGCCAAAGCAUUGGUGUGCUGAUGGGCUAGGCUCGGGGCCACCACCACCAAAUGUAGACGAAUGCAAGCCAUUCUACACUAAUUCAAGCAACUCUGGCACCUGCAAAAAGUACAACUAUGAGUCAUACAUGGGCUACCAGAGUUUUGUCAGUAAAAUGAACUGGGUAUGUGAUGAAAAGUCGAAGCUGGAAAUGGGAAACUACAUUGCACUUGCGGGCUACGCGAUAGGAGGCCCAAUUAUGGGCUAUUUGGCAGAUAGACUGGGUCGGGUGCCCAUUCUUGUUUUUGCCAAUGUCAUUACGAUAUUGGGUAACUUUUUGACUAUCUUUGGCAUGAAUUUCGAACUUUUCUGUAUAUUUCGAUUUCUUAUUGGUUUCGUCGUUAACAGCAACUUUUCGAUUAUUCGCAUUCUUAUUGUGGAAUAUAUGCGUCCUUCUUUGCGCACCGUUUGCCUGAACAUCUGUUACGGUUUCUUUAUCUAUUUGGGCAUGGUAAUUACACCUUGAAUUGCGAUCCUCAUGGGUAGUUGGCGUCGUUUCAUGCUUCUCGAAAUAUUGCCAAUAAUUGUGGUGCCAUUUUUCAUUUAUUUUGUGCCGGAGAGCGUACAAUGGCUGAUCUCAAGGCAGAAAUAUGACCAGGCUAUAGAGUCCCUGAGACGUGUGGCCAAGAUUAAUGGCCGCCAAAUUGAUGACAGCGAUUUUGAGGAAUUCAUUGAGGACUGCAAAUUAAGUCAGCAAAAUACGAAGACCAACCCAAAUCGGCUGCACAUCUUCAGAACGCCGCGCCUACGCCGCACCUUUCUAAUAAUUUGUUUGAAUUCUUGGUAUUUUCCUGCUACGACUUUGUCAUCACUUAUCAUGUGAAUGGCCUUGGGAUCUCGCCAUUUGUAACGACCUCACUGUCUUCAACUUCUAUUCUGCCUGCUUGCUUGGCAGCAAUUAUCCUGCAAGAUCGCAUCGGACGCAAGGCGUUGGCUUUUAAAAUAUUGCUCGUCAUGUUUAUUUCCACCUUGGUAACGGGCGUCGUCCUCUCACCCGCUGCUA